rnacentral:rRNA from 1 species
AGAACGAACGCUGGCGGCAUGCCUAACACAUGCAAGUCGAACGUGAUCCAGGCUUCGGCCUGGUGAAAGUGGCAGACGGGUGAGUAACGCGUGGGAACCUGCCCUGUGGUAGGGAAUAACCGUGGGAAACUGCGGCUAAUACCCUAUGAGUCCUUCGGGAGAAAGAUUUAUCGCCAUAGGAGGGGCCCGCGUCGGAUUAGGUAGUUGGUGGGGUAACGGCCUACCAAGCCUUCGAUCCGUAGCUGGUCUGAGAGGAUGAUCAGCCACACUGGGACUGAGAUACGGCCCAGACUCCUACGGGAGGCAGCAGUGGGGAAUAUUGGACAAUGGGGGCAACCCUGAUCCAGCAAUGCCGCGUGGAUGAUGAAGGCCUUCGGGUUGUAAAGUCUUUUCGGCGGGGAAGAUGAUGACGGUACCCGCAGAAGAAGCCCCGGCUAACUUCGUGCCAGCAGCCGC